GACGAACGCUGGCGGCGUGCUCAACACAUGCAAGUCGAACGAUGAAGCCGGAGCUUGCUCUGGUGAAUUAGUGGCGAACGGGUGAGUAACACGUGAGUAACCUGCCCUUGACUCUGGGAUAACUGCUAGAAAUGGUAGCUAAUACCGGAUACGACCCUCGGAGGCAUCUCCAGGGGGUGGAAAGAAUUUCGGUCAAGGAUGGACUCGCGGCCUAUCAGCUAGUUGGUGAGGUAACGGCUCACCAAGGCGACGACGAGUAGCCGGCCUGAGAGGGUGACCGGCCACACUGGGACUGGGACACGGCCCAGACUCCUACGGGAGGCAGCAGUGGGGAAUAUUGCACAAUGGGCGCAAGCCUGAUGCAGCAACGCCGCGUGAGGGAUGACGGCCUUCGGGUUGUAAACCUCUUUUAGUAGGGAAGAAGCGAAAGUGACGGUACCUGCAGAAAAAGCACCGGCUAACUACGUGCCAGCCGCCGCGGUAA
rnacentral:rRNA from 1 species